rnacentral:sRNA from 1 species
UGGCCGUUUUGAAGGCGUCCACAGCUUC